rnacentral:rRNA from 1 species
CUAUGCGCCUUGCCAGCCCGCUCAGUCAGAGUUUGAUCCUGGCUCAGGAUCAACGCUGGCGGCGUGCCUAAUGCAUGCAAGUCGAGCGCGGACCCUUUCGGGGGUGCUGCGCGGCGGACGGGUGCGUAACACGUGGGCAACCUGCCCUGGGGUGGGGGAUAGCCGUGGGAAACCGCGGGUAAUUCCGCAUACGAGCAUCUCUCGCACGGGGGGAUGCUGAAAGACGCUUCGGCGUCGCCCUGGGAGGGGCCUGCGGCCGAUUAGCUGGACGGUGGGGUCACGCCUACCGUGGCGAUGAUCGGUAGCUGGUCUGAGAGGACGGCCAGCCACACGGGGACUGAGACACGGCCCCG